rnacentral:rRNA from 1 species
UACGUAGGGUGCAAGCGUUAAUCGGAAUUACUGGGCGUAAAGCGUGCGCAGGCGGUCUUCCAAGUCAGUGGUGAAAGCCCGGAGCUCAACUCCGGAACUGCCAUUGAAACUGUGAGACUCGAGUACGAGAGAGGUGAGUGGAAUUCCCAGUGUAGAGGUGAAAUUCGUAGAUAUUGGGAAGAACACCGGUGGCGAAGGCGGCUCACUGGCUCGUAACUGACGCUCAGGCACGACAGCGUGGGGAUCAAACAGG